UACUUUGUUUUGACCUCAAAAAAUACUUUGGAGCCCUUGGUGAUGCAGCAGGUUAAACCGCUAAGCUGCUGAACUUGCUGACCAAAAGAUCGGUGGUUCAAAUCCAUAGCCCCAGCUUCUGCCAACCUAGCAGUUCGAAAACAUGCAAAUAAGUUUUGUUGAUUUGGAUGACUUGAAAUCAAGGACACCGGAGGCCAGAGUGGGAGAACUUAGUGGUGGUGUCUCCUUCUUCUUCUUCCUUUCUUGUGGCCUUUACCUGGAAAAGGCAAACCAUUUGAAUUCCUGCGAGAAAUCCCUCGGCUGAAAUAUGUACUAUCUCGGCGUCUUGACAUCUUCCCUGGUGCCUAAGGAAACCAAGAGCAAAUGUAUUAGCCUUUGCCCUUGGGCAGCUGACCUGUCUACUCAGGUAUUAUGAGUCCCUGGAGCAGUGGCAGCAAGAAAAAAAAGUACGCCGAGAAAGGGAGCUGGCAGCGGCGGCUCUCCUGGAGAAGAAGGAAGGGAUCCGCCUGAUCUACACGAGGUCGGACUGGAUCCGGCCCCCCUGCGUUCCAGGGGAUCCCUUCCUGACGGGAAAUAAGGAGAGCCGCCAACCAAUGUUUCAACAUCGCCAGCCCUACUUUCUGCCUCCAAUAAAAGAAGCCAACGCCGCUGCUCCCGGGACCAGCUCUACAACAUUCAAUGAGACGAACUGGCCAUUUUUUCUUCCGAAGCUGCCACCCAGGACGUGAUGAUGAGUCCCUGGAGCGGCGGCAGCAAGAAAAAAAAGUACGCCGAGAAAGGGAGCUGGCAGCGGCGGCUCUCCUGGAGAAGAAGGAAGGGAUCCACCUGAUCUACACGGGGUCAGACUG
rnacentral:lncRNA from 1 species